rnacentral:sRNA from 1 species
GCUAUGGAUCUACCAUCUGUACGUGGGUGGAAGCCAAGCUAAUUGACAAACUGGAUAGCCUGAUGUCAGAAGGCAAAGGUGACGAAACAUACCGCGAGCUCUUCAACAGUAUUCUACUAAAGAAAAUUGAGCGGGAAACAUGGCGGGAAAGUGGCGUUUCAUUAAUUGCUACUGUAACUCGUCUAAUGGAGAGGUUGUUAGAUUACAGGGACUGCAUGAAAAUGGGAGAGGUAGAUGGCAAAAAGAUUGGCUGCACAGUUAGCCUUCUGAACUUCUAUAAGACUGAACUGAACAAGGAGGAGAUGUAUAUACGCUACAUUCACAAACUCUAUGAUCUGCAUCUCAAAGCACAGAACUUUACAGAAGCUGCAUAUACCCUCCUCUUAUAUGACGAGCUACUGGAAUGGUCUGAUCGGCCCCUCAGGGAGUUCCUGACCUACCCCAUGCAAACAGAAUGGCAGCGCAAAGAGCACCUGCACCUCACCAUCAUCCAGAACUUUGACAGAGGCAAAUGUUGGGAGAAUGGCAUUAUCUUGUGCCGGAAGAUUGC